rnacentral:rRNA from 1 species
UACAGAGGGGGCAAGCGUUGUCCGGAUUUACUGGGCGUAAAGGGCUCGUAGGCGGCCAACUAAGUCGGACGUGAAAUCCCCAGGCUCAACCUGGGAACUGCGUCCGAUACUGGAUGGCUGAAUCCGGGAGAGGGAUGCAGAAUUCCGGGUGUAGCGGUGGGAAUGCGUAGAGAUCCGGAAGAACACCGGUGGCGAAGGCGGCCUGCUGGGCAGUAGCUGACACUGAGGCGCGACAGCGUGGGGAGCAAACAGG